CGGGAGUUGUAAUUUGAAGAUUGCGUCUUGGAGGCGACUUUUUCUAUGUUCCUUGGAACAGGACGUCACAGAGGGUGAGACUCCCCGAUCGGAGGAAAACCGGCUCCUUAUCAGGCGCUCUCGUCGAGUCGAGUUGUUUGGGAAUGCAGCUCAAAGUGGGUGGUAAAUUCCAUCUAAAGCUAAAUACAGGCGAGAGACCGAUAGCGAACAAGUACAGUGAUGGAAAGAUGAAAAGCACUUUGAAAAGAGAGUGAAACAGCACGUGAAAUUGUUGAAAGGGAAGGGCAUGCCGUCAGAUUGUCAGUGUGGGUAAGAAGCGGGGUACAAAGACUGUGGAACGUGGCCUCGGGUGUUAUAGCCGCAGUUCAUGCCCGUC
rnacentral:rRNA from 1 species